GGGGGAAGCUGUGGGUCCCGUUGAUCGACUUUAUCUUCUCCAUUCUGCUCCAGUGAAAUCCUGAAAGGUUUUCCUAAACUCCCAACAGUACUCUUCUGCUCGAGGGAUGACCUUCAUGAGCUCGCGGCCCCACGUCACCACAGGCUUCCCCUGGAUGGCGUACGAAGCAAACAGCGCUGUGGUCAGGGAGCCGAGGAAGCCUGAAAACCAAGAGACGCAACACAARYAACUUYAGCCCUGAUCCUAUGACCUCUAACAACAAGCAGGCGUGUGCCAGGCCAGCAGGAAGUUGUGAGGUUUGAGGUGAACACAAGCUUCCACCGUGGACGGAUCUGGGGCUCGUCCCUGGAGAGACACCAUGGCUUCGACAUAGACACGCACCAACUCCCUGUACAGAGUUAGUGUCGUUGACGACGACCCUGCAUCUGCCGCCAAAACGCGAUACGAGAAGAUUACAGAGGGCUCCGACCCGCUAUUGUUCAGAGGAUCAGCUUUUGUAAAGUGCACUAUUUUGGACUCUUCRGUUCUGGAAAGAGCUUUGGGAUGACGUUUGGCUGAGGGCAUUCCAAACUGAAUGAAGAUUUUGUUUUGGUGACGGCAUUUUAGCCGUUUUAGAUGUUCACCUGUCAGAUCCCAUCAACUUUCAUGAGAAGAAGUCCUUUAUUUUUCAAAAUAAAGUAAAAUAAAAGCCUCUUAAACCAAAU